ensembl:lncRNA
CAGUAUUUUACCGUUAAUUGACUGUAAAGUUCAGGCCAAUUUACUGUAAUGCAUUUUACGAUAACAUAGUGUCAAAAACAUUUACGGUAUUAUACCGUAAAAUAAUGGUAAAUUCCUGGCGUCCUUGCUGCCAGUAAGUUACCGUUAAUUUACGGUGAAUUUUUUUAGAGUGCAGUGAUGUGGAACGCUCGGGUCAAUGUAAACAGCAACUGUACAUUAUCGCUCAAUAAUGUACACCACAACACUGCAAAAAAUGUGCGUUUGUUGUCAGCUUUUGAUUAUUAUGCACAACAUUGAAUUAUCUCAUUUACAAAAUUUACAGCACAAUGCCAAGAAAAGAGAGACUCCAAACGCAGAAGGAUCGGGAAAAUAUCCUACUGUAUAUUUUAUUACAGUUAUUAUUAUUCAUUUCAGGAAUAAUUUUGGUGAUGGGUGCCCUUUUGUUUUAGUUUGAGCACCUGCCCCCAAAAAUGUCUGUGCACAUGCCUGCUACGCUAAUUAGAGGCCCAAGAAGUACUUCAAUAAAAGUACUACUAUCAAGGUGUAGAAAUACUUUGUUAAAAGCAGUAGUAAACGUACAAAGGGGCAUAUAAAUAUACCAAAAUGCCAAUAUAUAUUAUGUUGUAGUAUCAUAUUUAUUGAUGAAUUUCAUCACGUUUUAUGCUACUGAUGUUUCAUUUAGUGGACUAAUAAUAUGUAAAAUAAUUAAAGAUGAAUGUAGAACAGUAAAAGGCACAACUUUUACCUCUAAGAUGUAAAAUAUAAAGUAACAUGAGAAGGACACACCGAAGUAAAGUACAAGUACCUUACCUUGUGCAGUAUGUCAGUAAAUGUACUAAAUAAACAUUUUUUUAUGGCGGUGUUUAUAGAGGUGAUUAAUGAGUGAAUGAAUAAGUGGUUGCGUCAGAGAGAUGAUGUGAAUGAAGGGUGUUCGUAGGUGAUGAAUGAAUGAAUGGAGGUGUUAUAAAGGUGACGAAUAAGUGGUGGUGUUAUAUAGAUGAUGAAUACAUCAAUGAAUGGAGGGGUUAGUGAGGUGAUGAAUGAAUGGAGGUGUUAGAGCGGUGAUGAAUGAAUGAUUGGAGAUGUUAGAGCGGUGAUGAAUGAAUAGAAGUGUUAGAGAGGUGAUGGAUGAAUGAAUGAAUGGAGGUGUUAGUGAGGUGAUCAAUGAAUGGAGGCGUUAGAGCGGUGAUGAAUGAAUGAUUGGAGAUGUUAGAGCGGUGAUGAAUGAAUGGAAGUGUUAGAGAGGUGAUGGAUGAAUGAAUGAAUGGAGGUGUUCGAGAAGUAAUGAAUGUAUAAGGCCAUGGAGGUGAGGGAAGGAGUACGUUUUCUGAAGCUCUUCUUCUUGGGUGGAGUCCCUGAGAGAAGAAGCUAUUUACUGCCACCUGGUGGAGGUAAACUCACUCUAACGUGAGAUGAGAAUUUAGUGGGAUGUUGUAGCUCUAGGAGUUAUUUAUUAAUUAAGGAUUAUUGAUUAGAGAAUAAUACAAUACAUGAAAAUAUGGACAACAGGAAAUAACAGUAGAAACCCCCAGACUGUGACAUGAAGUGUGACAUGAAACUCUUCUUCUUUCACACUUGAGUGGUAUGAAAACUUUACUUUUUACAUUUCAUUGUAUUACUACUACUAAAUUCACCAAAUUGACCGUUACUUAAUACAUUAUUUAACCAU